GCCUUCGUAGUGUAAUGGUCAGCACACUCGGCGCGUUCGAGAGGUCCGAGGUUCGAAUCCCGAUGAGGACG
rnacentral:tRNA from 1 species